rnacentral:rRNA from 1 species
AUUGAACGCUGGCGGCAUGCCUUACACAUGCAAGUCGAACGGCAGCACGGGAGCAAUCCUGGUGGCGAGUGGCGAACGGGUGAGUAAUACAUCGGAACGUGCCCAGUAGUGGGGGAUAACCCGGCGAAAGCCGGACUAAUACCGCAUACGACCUACGGGUGAAAGCGGGGGAUCGCAAGACCUCGCGCUAUCGGAGCGGCCGAUGUCAGAUUAACUAGUUGGUGGGGUAAAGGCCUACCAAGGCGACGAUCUGUAGCUGGUCUGAGAGGACGACCAGCCACACUGGGACUGAGACACGGCCCAGACUCCUACGGGAGGCAGCAGUGGGGAAUUUUGGACAAUGGGCGCAAGCCUGAUCCAGCCAUGCCGCGUGCGGGAAGAAGGCCUUCGGGUUGUAAACCGCUUUUGUCAGGGAAGAAACGCUCCGGGCUAAUACCACGGAGUAAUGACGGUACCUGAAGAAUAAGCACCGGCUAACUACGUG